rnacentral:rRNA from 1 species
UACGGGUCGCACCAGUGGGGAAUAUUGCGCAAUGGGGGAAACCCUGACGCAGCGACGCCGCGUGUAGGAAGAAGGCCUUCGGGUCGUAAACUACUGUCAAGAGGGAAGAAACUGUUAAGGUUUAAUACGCCUUUUCACUGACGGUACCUCUAGAGGAAGCACCGGCUAACUCCGUGCCAGCAGCCGCGGUAAUACGGAGGGUGCAAGCGUUAAUCGGAAUCACUGGGCGUAAAGAGUGCGUAGGCGGCGCUUCAAGUCAGGCGUGAAAGCCCUCGGCGCAACCGAGGAAGUGCGUUUGAAACUGGAGUGCUGGAGUCUCGGAGAGGUUGGCGGAAUUCCAGGUGUAGGAGUGAAAUCCGUAGAUAUCUGGAGGAACACCGGCGGCGAAGGCGGCCAACUGGACGAGUACUGACGCUGAGGUACGAAAGCGUGGGGAGCAAACAGGAUUAGAUACCCGGGUAGUC